AACGAACGCUGGCGGCAUGCCUAACACAUGCCAGUCGAACGAGACCUUCGGGUCUAGUGGCGCACGGGUGCGUAACGCGUGGGAACCUGCCCUUAGGUUCGGAAUAACUCCCCGAAAGGGGUGCUAAUACCGGAUAAUGUCUUCGGACCAAAGAUUUAUCGCCUUUGGAUGGGCCCGCGUUGGAUUAGCUAGUUGGUAGGGUAAAAGCCUACCAAGGCGACGAUCCAUAGCUGGUCUGAGAGGAUGAUCAGCCACACUGGGACUGAGACACGGCCCAGACUCCUACGGGAGGCAGCAGUUGGGAAUAUUGGACAAUGGGCGAAAGCCUGAUCCAGCAAUGCCGCGUGAGUGAUGAAGGCCUUAGGGUUGUAAAGCUCUUUUACCCGGGAUGAUAAUGACAGUACCGGGAGAAUAAGCUCCGGCUAACUCCGUG
rnacentral:rRNA from 1 species